rnacentral:lncRNA from 1 species
UGAGAGAAAUGGCACAGGGCUGAGAGCCUUGAAGUCACUGGCAUAGGUGAACGGGGUGACCACACCAGGCCAGGGAAGAAACACGUGCCCAGCCUGCCAUCUGCCCUCCUGUCUUGGAGCCAGGUCUUUCCACCAGCUUCCUUCAUCUUUUAACACUUGGUGAAAAGGAAUGACACGUCAGUCAAAGCCACUGGCCGGUGCUCAUGGAGCAUCUGGCAGGAGGAAGCCCCUUCCUGGCUGGCCUCCCAUUCAUCAGUCAGCGCCGCAGGCUGGGCCAGAAACAACCAAAAUGUUCUUCAAUAGGUGAAUGGUGAAAUAAACGGCGGAACAUGUAUACUACAGAAAACUGCUCGGCAAUGAAAAGGAAUGAAUUAUUGAUACAUGCAAUAGUUUGAACUGAUCUCAAAGUCAUUAU